CAACACACCGUUUUCAAUAUGCAUGAAGUUGAGGACAAUACUCAGAUCUUAUUCCUACUUUCUGCUGUACUUUCCCCUCACUGACCCUUUUGUUUUGUUUGAUUUUUUUCAUUGAGUCAUUUCAUAACAGCAGAGCUUUGAUGAGCUUUGUGCUGAUGGAAGGAGGAUCAGGAAUAGAGCAGAGGACCUGCUGAUCUACUGGUUCUAGUAGAUUCUAUUAAUGCAUGACUGAAACAAGUCAACAUCACUGGACCAAUGAGGAGAGAGAAGACCCAGAAGACUGAGGAGACAUGGGACAUCCUGCUGGAAAUCCAGAGAAGUUUCCUGAUGCAUCAGCUGAGGAUGGACGCAGAAUAAAGAGACAGAGAUUGUGUGAAGUGAAUCCUCAUCAGCCUGCAAUCCUCCACCUUCUACACCACCAGUCAGGUGGAGGAAGAUAAGAGAACUCAGUUGACAAAAAAAGUAAGAAUAUUUCUAUCUACAUAACAUAACUAAGCAUUUCAGAUGUAGCUGCGUAGAGUUGAGCUGAAAGUUAGAAGCUGGUUCUGUCUGCUGUCUCUGCAUAUUUUCCUCUUUAACUCUGUUGUCUUUUCUCUUUAUUUCAUUUCUGUCAACUCAUGUCACAUGACUUGAGUUGACCAAUAAUUAAAGCAGAAGACCUGCUCCACCUGCUGUUCUACUGGUUGUAACAGAUUGUGGAAAAGAUUGGAAAGUCAGAGAAGUUUCCUGAUGCAUCUGAGGGACAGCUGAGGAUGGACCAGAAUAAAGAGACAGAGAUUAUGUGAAGUGUAUCCUCAUCCGCCUGCAAUCCUCCACCUUCAACACCACCAGUCAGAACGAGGAAGAUAAGAGAACCCAGUUGACAAAAAAAGUAAGAAAACAUAUUUUUUCCCACCUAACAAUUUAAAAUAUGGAUGAAAUUGAGAUCACUGUCAAAGCUAUGACAGUGAUCUCAGUGGCAAGAAUAUACAUUUAUUCUGUCCAUGUGUAUUCUCUUUAUUUAACCCUGUUGUCUUUUCCCUGUAUUUCAUUUCUCUAUCAACUUAUGUCACACGAUUUGAGCUGCUGAUCUACUGGUUGUAACAGACUGUGAAGAGGUGACGCCAUGAUGAUGACUUGAUCAGAUACCAACAGGUGCAAACAUGCAGCAAUCAGUGAAACGAGCUGCAAACAGACCAGAGACGGGGAUAGAUGGAACCAAUGAUCUGACAAAAAGAAAUCUCCUGGACCGAGACAAAAUGACUAACUAGCACAACUACAGCUGCAUCUUUAACGUCUUUUCCGUCUCUAUUCUUUGAGUUCCGGUUUUGUAGACUCAGUCUCUUUUCUUAAUAAAACAUUUGUUACGGU